GGGAGUGUGAGCUGGGGCGAGUGUGUCCAUCCCUGUUGACCGCACUUUGACACUGACAGGAAGAAGCCGGCCGCUCGCUCCGUAGGAACCUCCUUGCCUGGGGUCCAGUUCUUCCUCUUCACUGCUGGUCAGCCCAAGUGCAGGAACAAGGAACCUGAGAGGCAGCCAGGACUCAUCAGCUGUUUCCCUUGGAAGGGAAACCAUGUUAACUUGGCAACAUCCCAGCCCAUGGACACCAAGGAGUCCUAUCUACAGUCUGCCGUGGUGCUGAAGGCCAGCGAUGAAGGGUGAUUUGUGUGGAAAAACGGGAAGACCAUGAGCAUGGAGGCAGAUGGCCUGUCUGUGCAUGCUGUUGCUGGUGCGGAUUUAGGUACCGUCUGGACCGGAGGUGUGCUUUCCUCAUCUGUAAAAUGAGACAGUAUCUCUGAGAUUGAAUUUUGAGAAUUAAAUAUUAAUUCUUUUUAC
rnacentral:lncRNA from 1 species